GGAAUUAGUAAGGAUAUAGUACUCACCACACUUAUGUGCGACGAAGUUGAUCAGCCCAACAUUUGCAACAAAUUGCAUAAAUUCUUCGUAAAAACCGAUUUCACUCAUGAAGGGUGUACGUGGCCAUUCACAAGAUCUAACCUCAAUGUUGCGAGAUCUUGAUAUCACUAUCUUGAGUCCUUCGUGCAACUCCAUUGGAACUCCGGCUCGAAGAACCUGCAUGUACGACCAUGGAUAUUUUCAGAGAAAUUAAAAUCGAAAAUAACAUGCUAGAGCGGAUGAAAUUGGAGCUCACAUCCUUGAGUCACAUCUUCACUUACUACCGAGCAUGUGCGCAUCUUCCCACCACCCGCUCACCAGUCUGUGGCAUCCCUUCUCGUCGUGACUCGCCCGCUAGUGUUGCCCGAGUCAAGGAAGUCGAGCGUGUUGUCGUGAUCAAGACACCGGUGUAGAUCGAUCGCAUGACCGCCUCAUUUGGCUACAGGUCCAUGGUGGUUUGGCACAUUACCUAGCCAUAGACUGGUUGAUAGUCACCGCCAAUCUUCCCAUUGUUGAUCGCCGACACAUCGGCAAC
rnacentral:lncRNA from 1 species